GGGGAAUAUUGCACAAUGGGGGAAACCCUGAUGCAGCCAUGCCGCGUGUGUGAAGAAGGCCUUCGGGUUGUAAAGCACUUUCAGUCAGGAGGAAGGUGGUGUAGCAAAUAUCUGACCCAAUUGACGUUACUGACAGAGAAAGCACCGGAUACCCCUGUGCCAGCAGCCGCGGUAAUACGGAGGGUGCGAGCGUUAAUCGGAAUUACUGGGCGUAAAGCGUGCGCAGGCGGUUUGUUAAGCGAGAUGUGAAAGCCCCGGGCUCAACCUGGGAUGGUCAUUUCGAACUGGCAAGCUAGAGUCUCGUAGAGGGGGGUAGAAUUCCAGGUGUAGCGGUGAAAUGCGUAGAGAUCUGGAGGAAUACCGGUGGCGAAGGCGGCCCCCUGGACGAAGCCUGACGCUCAGGCACGAAAGCGUGGGGAGCAAACA
rnacentral:rRNA from 1 species